UACGAGAAGUGCAAGUGUUACUCCUCAUGAUUGGGCGUUAAGGGUAUGUAGAUGGUAAUUAUAGUUAGAGAUACAUAUAAAUUUAUUAAUUUUUUAUCUUUAAUACUUUUUUACUUUGAGUAUCAAUCAAGAUAGUGGAACUACUAAUUGAGCGUUUAAAUGCAGUAAGAUUAGUGGGAACGUCGAUGGCGAAGGCAAAUAUCUAUUGAUUACUGACAUUGAGGUACGAAAGCAUGGGUAUCAAAUGGG
rnacentral:rRNA from 1 species